rnacentral:rRNA from 1 species
UACGGAGGGUGCAAACGUUGCUCGGAAUCAUUGGGCGUAAAGCGCACGUAGGCGGCCUGAUAAGUCGGGUGUGAAAGCCCUGGGCUCAACCCAGGAAGUGCACUCGAAACUGUCAGGCUUGAAUAUGGAAGAGGGUCGCGGAAUUCCCGGUGUAGUGGUGAAAUGCGUAGAGAUCGGGAGGAACACCUGUGGCGAAGGCGGCUCGCUGGGCCGGUCCUGACGCUGAGACGCGAAGGCGUGGGGAGCGAACGGG